UGAAAAGUUAGUCAGAGCGAAACUGAAGCGGUCAGGAGGAGAGCCGUGACGGUGUCCGUGACCAUUUAACGUGAGGAGUAUUUGUGAGGUUUUGGCUCUUGCGUAGGAUGUUUCAUUAGUGCACCGGCUACUCUUAAAUGGCUUAAAACAAUCCUUGCUAUUUAUAACUCUGGAGACUUUUGUCCUUCCUUGGCGGUCGAGCAUUGCUGGAUUUGGAGUCAACAUCAAGAAGCGUCAGACAUGCACUUUCUUGGAGUUAUUGUCGGCGUCUUUCUGCCUGUUUUAUGCAACUUAUCGCUGGGGUUUCCUGUGCCAGUAGAUGCGAUCAUAGUGCAGAUGCAGCAGUGGGGAGUGGUGGGUGCUCACCAGAUCGUGGAGCAAGUCCUUCACAAUGGAGUCUCUCUUACUGGAAGAAGCCAGGAAGUUGAGAGCAUUAUCCAAACCAUGUCAGCUGAUUCCCUCCUGCCGACUCUUAUCAGGGUCAACCAGACUUCCUUACUGAGAAACCACACUGUCCUUCGUUCUCGUGAAUGCACACUCGAGGGGUCUCAGCUGCACUGGGCCGACCGUGUGUUCUAUGACGGGAACGUCUAUCUGACUCUGGACCACACUGAUACAUGGACGGCCCAUGUGCCACAAGCCCUGGCUUUCAAAGUGUUGUGGGACCAAGAAGCACAGCGCACAAAGGCAGAAAUGACACGCCUUCAGGAGGGAUGCAUCAAGCUGAUGAGCGAACUGAAGCUUUCUCAGGAGCAGUCAGAUCAAGGGAAUCCUUUGCCUCAGUUUCUGAUCCCAGUCUUGGCACUUCUGGCAUUAACAGGACUCAUCAUAAUCAGCCUGCUCCUCUCCAAAAACCAGGGUUUGAGGCACCCCGGAGCCUUUAAUGGAUAGGACAGACAAGUGUGAAAGGGGGAGAGAGAGAGGGAGUGACAUGCAGCAAAGGGCCACAGGCUGGAGUUGAACCUGGGCCGCUGUGGCAACAGCCUUGUACAUGGGGCGCCUGCUCUACCACUAAGCCACCGACGCCCUGAUAUCUGAUAAUCUUUAACAGUGUUGUUGGCUCAAUUAUACAUUACCCCAAAGACAUGACUGAAACGGCUCCAGAAAUAAGGAGCGACGGUUACCAAACCUUGUAAUUCAAAGCUGCUGAUUAACAGGGUCACGUUUGAGCUCUCUUCUCCAUUACUGCUGCUAAAUGUCCAAAUAGAGAUUUAACACUUUUUCCUCCUGUGUAUGGAAAGUGUUUCUGCAGGAAUAUAACCAAAAACCUUUGCUAUGUUACCAACAGCCCACUGUAUUAAACGCAUGUGAUCUGGAUUCCAGGCCGCAUUACUUUAUGCACUUUAAUGUAUGUAUCAUACUUUACACUGGUGCUUUUAUUGCAUAUACUUUUUUUAUAUUUGUGCAUGUAUGUAUACACACAAAGUAGUGUAAAUACAUUUUCUGCAGCAAUGUACAAGCUUUUUAGACACUAAUAACUGUGGGCAAAUGUUUUCACCAGCCAUAAUCUCUGGACUAAGCUAUACAAGUAAAUAACUGUGUAAAUAUAAUGAAAAUGUUUUGUUUUAAGCACAAAGAAUGUCACACAUUGUCUUGUAGUCUGUAGAUAAAGCCCUGCUGAAAUCAAGUGUUUGUUUGGUCACUGAGAGUCAUGUCCCAGUGAAACUCUGCCAAAUGCUGACUGACUGAUGUCUGUAAGUGUGUCCAGUAAUCAAUAAUGUGUUGUUUGGUUUAAGAUACUGUCCUGAUGGUUUUAAUAUUUCUUUGUCAUACUGUUCAUUGUUUUUUUUUUUUCCUAACAUUUCUCCAUGUAAAAUUUUAAAUAAUUCAAUUAAAGAUACAUUUAUGGUAUAGAA